CGAAGGGGAAAAGUAAAAAACGCGGCUCCUCUCGUCGAUCCCUGCUCUCACACGCAAGCCUCCUCUCUUCUCUCCCCCCGGCUCGCCGCCACCGCCGCCACCACUCACGACGGCCGAUUCCGGCGAGUACCAGUGGCGGGUGGCAGAUCAACGACCUCCCCACGCCCCGCUCCUUCCUCCCAUCCCUCCUGAUCCGACGAGGGCGGAGGCGGCGCCUCGUCCGACUCCUCCUCCCCGUCCUCAUCCUCCUCAUUCUCUGCCGCCACCGCCUCCUCCUCCAGCGCCCCUCCAGCGGCCGCAGCAACAGCCCCGCCGGCGGCGGCAGGGAGUACAACUUGUUCGGCGUCGUGCCCGUCAGGCCGGCCGCCGGGUACGGGGACGAGGAGGAAGAGGAGGCGAGAGAUUUGUUCGGCUCCGACAACGAGGAGUACUUCAAGACCCCCCGCGUAGCAACUACCUAAUUCCAGCGCGGGAUGCGACAACUCAUCUGGCCGGAGGAGAACAUGGCAGCGGCAUCUCCUGGUGACGGCGGUGGGGCAGGCAAUGCUUCAAGGCGACGGGCUGAGGCGGCGGUGCAGGGAUCCGCUCGGUCUGUUGUUGUUGCUGAGGGCGGAUGGAGCAGCCGGGGCAGGUUCGUCCGUGAUGCCAAGGUAAAUUUCUCUGAAUCUUUCUCCCCCUUGCCCCUGAUCUCUAUCACUCUUUCUCUUUCUGCCCAUCUAUGCAGUAUUGUGUAAGUGUUGUGGUUCCUUUUUUUUAAUAAACCUCUGAUCCUCAAGCGAGCGAGACCAACGGGGAAAGGAACAGGGCGUGGCCUCACAUGGUGGCUUGCCGUCUGCUUCAUUGUUUCAUACCUUUCUCUGUACAAUUUCUUCAGCUUCAGAAACUAUAAACAGGCCUCUACAUCUAUUCUUCAAAUUUUCAGAUCCACCGCUCCUUCUAGCUGUCUACACUGUACCCUGAACCGUUACUGAUAUGCACUUUAAAAAAAGGACAGACCCAGUGCAUAGAAGCUCCCACACAAGUUUAUUUUUAGAAGGGAUUUGAGAUGGCGCCCGACAUUAUAGUAAGUACAAGACUGUUGCUGAAUGAGUGGUGUGUGCAACCAGACCUCCGUCCACUUGUUUCAUCGUUUGAACAUUCACCGGUUCUUGAGAAUCUGACGCUUCAAUUGCGUAAGGUACAACUAAGCCUAACUCAUCUGGUUCCUGAACCUCUCCACCAACUUCUUUCAAGGGGAGAUCCUGAAUGUCGGCAUCCUUGGACCUUCGAAAGCAGUUGUAAGCUUAACUCUAGCCUCAUCUCAUUCCACCUUGUGUGUCCUUUAUGAUCUCAGCAGAUGUUAUAAAUAUGAAUGAUUGGUAUCUAUUAGCUUGUACCACAAGUCCACAACUGUAUUGGCUUGUACCACAAGUCCACAACUGUACUGGAUCAGAUUGUGCUCUGGUGCAUUUCAAAUGAUGCAGGUAUGUCGAAAAUCUGGAGCUUUGCAGGCUGCCCAUCCAUAAGGGUUGCCGUGGAAUCCUCGGGUUCCCUCCAGUGCUGCCGCAGAAAAUGAUCUUAUGCUAGAUUGAUUGUUCAAGUAUUUGAUUACUGAUAGGAACAGUCAGCUUAUUUUAUUUUGUAAAAAGACAGGAACAAUAUCCAGUACGAUUGACUUCUUCUGUAACAGCUUCAUUGAGGAGCUCAAAGGUCGUGACUGUGACUGUUCUUAGGCCAAUACUUUCAUUUGUUGUUAUAACAUUUGCAUCAUUCUUCACAAGUUGCGAAAUCAAGCAUGCUAACGGUGGCGAGCGAUUUGAGCGCCAAUGACUCAACAACUGAUUAUCAAUCAGGUUUGUCUAUUUUAUUUUCAUCGGCAAUGCUGCAUCCUUUUUGAGUUGCAAUGAUCAUAUGGUUCAGAUAGACAAUUUAAUCACUUUUCUUUUCUAUACCAAGUUUAUGCUUCAAUCGAUUAACAAUUAUUUUGAAUCACAAACCUAUUAUUCUUUGGAGUGGCCAAAUGUGUAUCUUUGAAUCUCCAAGUGCCACCGGAGGGCUAUAUAUAUUUCAUUGGUUCAUGGAUCAUUAGGAGGCACAUAAUGGUAGAAAUAAUUAGCUUGCAAGUUCUAUAUUGCCAGAGGAGUCAUAAUUCGUGUAGGGGAGCAAAGCCAUACAUGAUAAGCAAGGGGAACAUGCAACAUACGUAGCCGAGCGUGUCAACACUACAUACAACAGCUAUAUCCAGCAAAUUUUCUUUUGAUUUUGCUUUAUUCUAUUGAUCAGAUUUUCCAAGUCAUUUUUCCUUCGAGGUAUUUAGCAUUGCCAAAUUUAUAUAUUUACCUAAAUUUAAUCUUGACUCGAUUUGCUGUGGUCAAUACAAGCAUGAUGCCUUUUCUUUUCUAUAAAGUGGAUGCAGGGUUAGUUUACUAUGCCGAUCCGAGCGAGCGUCAGGCGCGCAAAGCUCACCGUCCACAUGCCUCCUCUUCGUCUGCAUCCGCAGUGCCAAAUCGCUCCCCAUCCGAGCAGCUAUAUCUAAACUUCUUGGUAAUGCAGUAGAUGAGGUUUGCAAUAUCUUCUAACAUCUUCUAUGAACUAGAUAGUGACUAAUUUAAAUUGUGUGAUAAUACUCAAAUGUCUGAAACACGGAGUAUUCUGUUGUAAGCUAAAAAUUUGAAAUUUCACAUUCCUGUUUCUGGAAAUACCAUGCUAUACUGCUAUCUAACACAAUGCUCGGUUGAUCGGUGUUCUAAUAACUUCGUGUAUUAUACUCUGUUGACAAAAACCAUGCUAAACCCUAAAAAACUUGCUAUACUACUAUUGCAUUUAUUUAUUUUGUUGUAUUAAUGUAUUGUAACAGAAAGUAUGUAUCUGCCAAAUGUGCACUGACAAAAGAUGGCAGGAACAAAUGUUUACAGAUCACACGACUACUCCACAAUCUAAAACACUGAGUAUUUUGAAGUUGGUUGUUCAAGCAGACACAAUGUGCACUGACAAAAGAUGGCAGGAACAAUGGUACACAGUCAUGAUAUAAUAACAUUGUAGAUAGAUGGAGACUGAAUUAGUUCACAUUACUUUGAUGUCUAUCGAGCCAAUGGAACAACAAAGGUAGUUCCUUCGCACAAUUUGAAGAAUGUUAUUUCAUAUUGCAUGAUAUGUCUGACUCAUUUCAGUGGGCCUUCAAUUAAUUUGAGGCAUCCUUUCCUAGGAUCUUACCUUGAUAUUCCUGUAUUUUCUCCUAUUCGUCCCAUGCUUUUUUAAGAACUGAAAUAAUUAUAACCAGUGUUACAAAUGUUUGCUGAGGAAAAGUCCUUGCAGAAAAGAAGAACCGGAAGCAGGUUUUCUAUCUUCACCAGUAUUUCCUUGUUUCUAAUUGUUGGCUCUUUCCUAUGGCCUAAGGUUAAGGAUUAAUACUUUUGAUAUCUAAUUUGAGAAAAUAGCUUCAUAGAACGUAAGUAGAAGGUAGACUGUAGCAUUGAUCAUUGAUAUUUUGUACAUAGACAGUUCAACGAACUGCUCUGAAAGGGGAUGUUGAGGGUGACGACGCCGCCGAGCAAGUCGGCAUCUGUAAAGCUUUGCCGGAGCCAUUCCAGCUCUUUCAGAGCCACAAGGCAAGGAAGCCGAGGAACUAGGACGCCAACAGUGCGGAGCCGUUUGCCAUCGAGAGGACUAGGAUUGCCAUCAGGGACCUCUAAACCAAGCUCAACAUCUCCCUCGCGCCAACAUCCACAUCGUGUCCCGGACGGUCGUCGCCGUCUGUGACGGCGAGCUACUGCCGCCGCAUCGUCAGUGCGGAGCCGUUUGCCAUCGAGAGGACUAGGGCUGCCAUCAGGGACCUCUAAACCAAGCUCAACAUCUCCCUCGCGCCAACAUCCACACCAUGUCCCGGAGGUUCGUCGCCGUCUGUGACGGCGAGCUACUGCCGACGCAUCGUCAGCCGCACGGUUAGAGGGAGGUAUCGCUGCCAGGGCCGACAUGCGUGUAAUUUCUAUUAAUGUAUCUUAUGUUGCCAAACAGAAACAUGCUCCUAUCGAUGCUAUAUCGUUGUGGGCGUGGCAUUUCAGUUUCUUCCUCAGACGAUGUUCCAAUAUAAUAAGUUCCAUAGAAUUGCAUGUACAUGUCCUGCUAUCUUGAUCCAAAAAGGAAAGUAAAAAAGGGUGUUCAUCUA